ACCCGCUGAACUUAAGCAUAUUAAUAAGCGGAGGAAAAGAAACUAACAAGGAUUCCCCUAGUAACGGCGAGUGAAGCGGGAUCAGCUCAAAUUUGAAAUCUCCUUCGGGCGAAUUGUAGUUUAGAGAAGUGUUUUCUGGGGCAGCUCAGGCAUAGGUCCUUUGGAAAGAGGCGUCAUAGAGGGUGAGAACCCCGUCUGUAGCCUGAAGCCUGCUCCUUUGUGAUACACUUUCAAAGAGUCGAGUUGUUUGGGAAUGCAGCUCAAAAUGGGUGGUAAAUACCAUCUAAAGCUAAAUAUUGGCGAGAGACCGAUAGCGAACAAGUACCGUGAGGGAAAGAUGAAAAGAACUUUGAAAAGAGAGUUAAACAGUACGUGAAAUUGUUAAAAGGGAAACGCUUGAAAUCAGUGUUGCAGCCCAGCAAUCAGCCACUCAUAGGGUGGUGCACUUGCUUGGGAGCAGGUCAGCAUCAGUUUGCUGCGAGGUAAAAAGCUGAGUACCUAGCCCUCUGGGUUGGGUCUCAGUCAUGCCUUGCGGUAGACUGAGGUCUGCUAAUUCACAGGAUGCUGACGAAAUGGUUUUAAACGACCCGUCUUGAAACACGG
rnacentral:rRNA from 1 species